rnacentral:rRNA from 1 species
AGUGAACGCUGGCGGUAGGCCUAACACAUGCAAGUCGAACGGCAGCACAAUAAGAGCUUGCUCUUACGGGUGGCGAGUGGCGGACGGGUGAGGAAUACAUCGGAAUCUACUUUUUCGUGGGGGAUAACGUAGGGAAACUUACGCUAAUACCGCAUACGACCUACGGGUGAAAGCAGGGGAUCUUCGGACCUUGCGCGAUUGAAUGAGCCGAUGUCGGAUUAGCUAGUUGGCGGGGUAAAGGCCCACCAAGGCGACGAUCCGUAGCUGGUCUGAGAGGAUGAUCAGCCACACUGGAACUGAGACACGGUCCAGACUCCUACGGGAGGCAGCAGUGGGGAAUAUUGGACAAUGGGCGCAAGCCUGAUCCAGCCAUACCGCGUGGGUGAAGAAGGCCUUCGGGUUGUAAAGCCCUUUUGUUGGGAAAGAAAAGCAGCAGGUUAACACCCCGCUGUUCUGACGGUACCCAAAGAAUAAGCACCGGCUAACUUCGUG